rnacentral:rRNA from 1 species
AUUGAACGCUGGCGGCAUGUCUUACACAUGCAAGUCGGGCGAAGCCUUCGGGCUUAGCGGCGGACGGGUGAGUAACGCGUGGGAACGUGCCCUUUGGUACGGAAUAGCCCCGGGAAACUGGGAGUAAUACCGUAUGUGCCCUUCGGGGGAAAGAUUUAUCGGCAAAGGAUCGGCCCGCGUUGGAUUAGGUAGUUGGUGGGGUAAUGGCCUACCAAGCCGACGAUCCAUAGCUGGUUUGAGAGGAUGAUCAGCCACACUGGGACUGAGACACGGCCCAGACUCCUACGGGAGGCAGCAGUGGGGAAUCUUAGACAAUGGGGGAAACCCUGAUCUAGCCAUGCCGCGUGAUCGAUGAAGGCCUUAGGGUUGUAAAGAUCUUUCAGUGGGGAAGACAAUGACUGUACCCACAGAAGAAGCCCCGGCUAACUCCGUGCCAGCCGCCGCCGUAACAC